GCCUCGAUCCCAGGCCGAGUUUUCGCUUUUAUAACGGUUAGGCGAACAACUGGGCCUGGUACUAGUUGUCUGCGCAUGCGUCAGUCGUUUGUCAGAUUCUGACGAAUGGAUAUUCUCGUUCACUUUCGUGACAUUUAUAUUCGUGUACUAUCGUGUACUAGAAGUCAGUUCCCGUUUUAUCAUUAUUGGAAUCGAUUGGAAUGGCUCUUAGCUGAAGCUUCUCUCUUCUCUGAAGCUUAUUCUGAAGACUGAACAACAAGGGAAGAGGUAUAAAGCUUUGUCAAGCUUGUUAAGGUCAGAUAUUUUUGUGUGGGCCCUAUGGCCGGCUGUGCUAUCAAGUCUUGUUCAUGUUUGGCAAGAAUGUAGGUAGACUAUAGUUUCAUCAUUAAUAUGGUGGAUCAAAUGAAGAGUGUGAGCUAGAGAACUUGGUGCUGCCAUCAUCAGCUCGUCGACAAUGACACUAUAACCGAGAAAUUUAAUAUGUAUAGAUCUACACGUAUUUAAAAUGUCUACUUCUCUGUACAGGAGCAAUGGCUAAUAUCCAGCUAUCCCAACAGUGCUCCUCUUGGCUAUACUAACGGACGAGACUGGACAGUUUGAGACACAGGACUGGAGUAUGACCUGCUCAUUCGAGCGUUGCUGGGUAGCUCAGAGACAUCAAGAGAAUCUACGUUUUCUCAAGCAAUGAGUUACGAGUUGGGGCCUAGAAUCAGAGAAGUCCAGCAGCCUGCUAAAUCUUUUUGAAACGUAAUUUGAAGGCAUUCAAUCAUCCUGAAGUUGCCCUGGGUCACUGUAAUUGUGCUGCAGCACAACUGGCAACUCCCCAGGCCUUUGUGAAGCAGCUCCCUAUGUGCAUCUUUUGUGUACUCACCCUGUGCAUUUUCUGUGUACAAAUUUCUAUUAUUGAUUUAUUAAAUAUUUUUGCCGACCACAAA